GUCAUCCUCCUCCACGAGCCAACCACUCCACUUUUCCCCUCUAUAUUUUUCCCCACAAGUGCUGCAUCAAACCCUAGUCCUACUCCCCAAUCGGCGCCGCCAACCUCUGUAUUUUUCUUUCCCCUUCCCAAAUCAAACUGGAGGGCAAGUUUCAGACAUUUCAGAAAAAGUUUCAGGAAGCACUGAACACCUUUGCCGCAGCAUCGUCGUCGGCCCAUCGUCUCCGGCCACCUCCGUCUACCUCCGGCCUCCCUGAGGUGUCCAAUCGUUUCAUGGUGAGGUGUUCUUUCUUCCCCGUCUUUUCCCUAUUGCAUCUGAGCUCUUUUCUGCGUCGCCAAUAUCUGACGACAAUUCUCGUCGCCUGUUUUUCUGCAACUCCGCGUCCGCUUCGCUGCUGUUCCUCGUCGCCGUCCGCCGCGCUGCGAGCGGGGAUGGGUCCGUGGUGACCUGCGCUUCGUCCUCGACAUCAUACCCGUUCUGGAGCCGCUCUGGAACGGACAAGGCCGUCCUCAUCUUCUUCCUGGACUCCAACGCGCCUUCGUCUCCAUCUCGGUCGAGCUCUUGUUUACAUCUUUGUCUUCCCCGACGGCCAGCGGCGCUGCCCCGACUGUUCAGCCACCUUCGUCCUGUGCCUGCAUCAACGAACACGUCCACGAUCCCCUGGCAUUUGCUUCUUCCGGAUAGGAUCGCGAAGUGGUGUUGUGAGAUACGACAAGUUCUCUGGAUGUUCCUCGGCAAGUUUUAACAGGCAAGCAUUUUUCCCUAUACUUCUGCCCCUGCAGAAGUCGCUCACCUAUUUUAUUUUGCCUUCUCCCUUAUGCUAUCCUUGAGUUGCGUUCUUGUCACGUGUUCCUUCCACUUGUUACCUCAAGCAGCCUAUAUUGCCUCCACCAAUCACCUACAGCUAUUGUUUGGUUAUCGGGUCUGCCUUGCGAGUUGUAGUGCAUGCUAGUGUUGUUAUAUCUCGUUACCGUUACUGCUAUCUUAUCGGUUAUCUGUUGGAAAUCAUGACACAUGCUACAUGGUUAUAUCUGUUGAGGUAAUCAUGGUUACUUGUUAAUAGUUGUUAGCGGAGGCAUCGGUGGGUCAGCUGAUCGUUUUGUGACGGCUCACUUGUGUUUCCUAAAUAUCUUAGGACCCCGAGUUCUUGUUAUCUGUUCCGAGACUGAGCGCUCUAACCACACGUGGGUAUGUUUCUGGGUCUCCCCUCGACCACUGCCGGAAUCUACAGCUUUGUCCAGUGGCCACAACUAGUUUGCAAUGCUUUACCAUUUGUUGUUUGCGUGCAUGCCAGCCUGUUACUUAUUUACUUUGGGGAGUCCCUGGGUGCCUUGUAUCCCUUGUUUCUGGUAUGCACGUAUAGGUCGCGGAGCCGCUGCGAAGUGGUUUAUCGCCCCAGUGUGUGUUUAAACCACCUAGUACGCUGUCGCAAACAGCUAGGUCCGCUUCGGAGAUACGGCCGGACUUCGAUACGGGUUUAACUUAGUUAGGUGGCUUCCUGGACAUUGUUGUCGUGAAGGAGAGUGCGAGUCGUUAUAUCCACCUGUCGCAAGUGGGUUGAUCGUGCGUGUGGGCACAUUUGGGCACCCCUGCAGGGUUAAAUCUUAUCGAUAAGCCGCGUCCGCGGUUAUGGACGACUUGGAGCUGUAUGACUCGACCAUAGACAACUUACACCUGUUGUUCAUUAAUAAUAACUUGCGUAGUAAGUUAGCACAACUUCAAUAAUAAAUGGUUAAAACUUGACAACCGUGUGAGUACCCUUGUAAGUACUUCCUUGCGAGGGGGGAACGCAUCGGUGUGUUAUGUUUGGAGAGUAUAGAACUGUUAGUUUAUGCGCUCUCUCACCUUCUCUGUUUAGACGAAUGUUGUAGAGUGUCUCUAUAGGUUUUUAGUGCUUGCGCGCUGCCGCUUAACCCCACCAUAUUGCCUUUGACGUUCCUCUUGCGUCCUCUAAGUCCCCUGCGUGCCUCAAGUACAAAGGACGACUGGUUGACGAAUGCUUAUACGUCUUGAAGUCUUGUUAAGUACGAACCGUACUUAUUGCUGCUUCUACGGGAUAUAACCGGGCAGGUAUGAAGAUAUGUUCGAUGAAGCCGACGUUAGCGAGGUUACCCUUCCGGCUUGGCCUGGGCAGGGUUAUGGACGCCAUCGUUUAUCUUCAGGACUCUUAGUCCAAUUUGUAUCUUGUCCGUACUCGGAUGUAUUCGCUCUUCGGUAUGAUUUGGAUCUUUGUAUUGUAUCUAUUUGUAUCUUGACUCGUUGGAGUCGUUGUUGUAAUAUAUGUUUCUUGUGGGCUCUA